rnacentral:rRNA from 1 species
CAGUCGCCGCGGUAAUACGAGGGGGGCAAGCGUUGUUCGGAAUUAUUGGGCGUAAAGGGUGCGUAGGCGGUUUGACAAGUCUGAUGUGAAAGCCCCCGGCUCAACCGGGGAGGGUCACUGGAAACUGGGAAACUUGAGUGCAGAAGAGGAGAGUGGAAUUCCACGUGUAGCGGUGAAAUGCGUAGAGAUGUGGAGGAACACCAGUGGCGAAGGCGACUCUCUGGUCUGUAACUGACGCUGAGGAGCGAAAGCGUGGGGAGCGAACAGGAUUAGAUACCCCAGUAGUCCCUGUCUCUUAUAA